GUAGGGGGCAAGCGUUGUCCGGAUUUAUUGGGCGUAAAGCGCGUGUAGGCGGCCAGGUAAGUCGGCUGUGAAAACUCGAGGCUCAACCUCGAGAUGUCGGCCGAAACUAUCUGGCUAGAGUCCGGAAGAGGAGAAUGGAAUUCCCGGUGUAGCGGUGAAAUGCGCAGAUAUCGGGAAGAACACCCGUGGCGAAGGCGGUUCUCUGGGACGGUACUGACGCUGAGACGCGAAAGCGUGGGGAGCGAACAGGAUUAGAUACCCUGGUAGUCCACGCCGUAAACGAUGGGAACUAGGUGUGGGCGGUGUCGACUCCGUCCGUGCCGAAGCUAACGCAUUAAGUUCCCCGCCUGGGGAGUACGGCCGCAAGGCUAAA
rnacentral:rRNA from 1 species